GAGCCGCUAGCUCAGUUGGUAGAGCACCGGCCUUUUAAGCCGAGGGUCCUGGGUUCGAUCCCCAGGCGGCUCA
rnacentral:tRNA from 1 species